GUUUCAGCAGAACACACAUAAACAAUACUUAAAUUCAAAGUUGUCAUCCAAUCACACGCGCAAACUGGCUACACAUUUUAUAAAAACAUCCUACCGACAUGACAAUCGCAAACUUACAGGCGCGCACAUCGCUCCGUCUCCGUGCCCACUGCCAUUUAUGCCACCACCUCGCUCGCCGACGAGCCGGCCAUCGCCAGAAGCGGUCGUAGUCAUCAACGCGCACACAGCUGCACCGCAAAGAGCCAAAGACACCUGCCAUGGUGAGAGCAAGGGGCUUGUUCUGCCUCGUGUCGCCGGUCCGCGGCGACCCCGCCGACCGCCGCAGCAGCGCCGCGUGCAUAUGCUGCGUGGGCCCUCACCACAAGCCGUCGUCCGGCGCUCCCGACGCCGACCUGAGCGCGAGGCUGCCGCUCACCGGGUGCUGCGGCGCGGACGUCCGCGGCCGGAGCAGCGCCGCGCGCACCCCGAGGACGCCGUGCACGCCCACCGCCAGGCGCCUCUGCGGCGUCCGCCCUCGCACGCCGCGCCGCGGGCAGGUCUGCUGCUUCCCUGCCGCCACCGUCGAGCCGGCAGGACCGGAGGCCGCCGCCGCCGUCGCGAGGACGCCGCGAACCCCUACCACGCAGGCGCAGCAGGGCCCGGGCUGGCGGCGCCGUUGGUUGUUCCGCUCCGCUCGCCAGGCGGCGGCGCAGAUGACGCCGCGCUUUCGGGGCGCCGGCCGCGACAGCGCCCACGCUGGCAACAACAACACAAGUGCCUACGACGCGCGCCUCCCGGAGGCGGAGGCGGAGACGGAGACGUGCUCCAACGACGAGUAUGCGCUGCUCUGCAGGGAGGGCUUCUCCCGGGAGGACGUGGCCGCGGUCACCAUCCAGGCCUACUUCCGAGGCCACCUGGCGCGGCGGGCGUUCAUGGCGCUCAAGAGCCUGGUGAGGCUUCAGGCGGUGGCGCGGGGCGCGUUCGUGCGGCGCCAGGCGGAGGUGGCCAUGCAAUGCAUGCAGGCGAUGGCGCGGCUGCAUGGGCGCGUGCGCGCCCGGCGGAUGCUGACCACCAAACCCGAGGCCGAGCAGCUGUUGCAGAGCUGACCGGAGGCUGCAUUCUCGAUCGGCAAAGAAGAGUCCACCGCACGAAUAAGGUGAACGUGCUGUUUGUGAGAGGCAUUUGUUCUUUUGACUGAUGAACUUUGCCAGGGCCUCACGACUGUAAUGUCCCUGUAAUUCGCCUUCAUUUCUUUCUCUCUUUUUGGCUGUGCUGUGGCAAUAUGUAACUGUUGCAUUUUGUAAGCGUUGGUUUGAUUUGAGACUUUCGAAUUUUGAUCAUGGAAAACAGAAAGAUAAAAAAUUAUCAAGGC
rnacentral:misc_RNA from 1 species